rnacentral:misc_RNA from 1 species
UUCACAAAUAAACAUUUUUUUCACUGCAUUCUAGUUGUGGUUUGUCC